rnacentral:rRNA from 1 species
GAUUAUGGCUCAGGAUGAACGCUAGCGGCAGGCUUAACACAUGCAAGUCGAGGGGCAUCGGGAGUAGCAAUACUUGCCGGCGACCGGCGCAAGGGUGCGUAACGCGUGAGCAACAUGCCCGUAUCAGGGGGAUAAUCCAUGGAAACGUGGUCUAAUACCCCAUAGUAAUUAUGUAAGGCAUCUUAUAUAAUUUAAAGCUUUGGUGGAUACGGAUUGGCUCGCGUGACAUUAGCUGGAUGGUAAGGUAACGGCUUACCAUGGCGACGAUCGAUAGCCGGACUGAGAGGUCGACCGGCCACAUUGGGACUGAGACACGGCCCAGACUCCUACGGGAGGCAGCAGUGGGGAAUAUUGCACAAUGGGGGAAACCCUGAUGCAGCGACGCCGCGUGAGUGAAGAAGUAUUUCGGUAUGUAAAGCUCUUUUAGCAGGGAAGAUGAUGACGGUACCUGCAGAAAAAGCCCCGGCUAAAUACGUGCCAGCAGCCGC